AAAAAAGUAACAUUUCUAAGGUAUGUGCAUGGAUAAACUGAGUUAUGUAUCAAAAAUAUGGUGUCAUAUCCUAAUUUUUAACCCUAAGAUCCCACAUAUCAUUUACAUCCUUGCAUAUAAACAAGGUCACAUCUUUGUCCUCUCCCUCUCAUUUUUGGGUUUGCCUUUUGUAGGGAUCAUCAAGCACCUUUUUGUUGGUGUUUUACCUUUGUGUUUAUCUGUUCAUUGCUUAUCUAACCACUAAUUAAAAUAUAAAAAA
rnacentral:lncRNA from 1 species